AACAAGGGACAUUCUCCCAGUUGCUGAAAAUUUUGCCUCUGUUCCUCGUACUAGCAAUGAUACUCUGCAGCUGGUGCUUAAUAAUAGCAUUCUACUACUGCAUUCCUUUUUCAUGUACUAAUGAGCCUAAGAUUUGAAAACAAGGCUUGGGUAAUUUGGCCCGAGGCAGCUACUUGUGUUAAUCUGUUGAUCAGCCCUAACUUGAAGGAGAACAGGUUAUACCACAAAAUGGAAAUUACAAAAUGGGUUGAUCUCCAGGAAAAUCUUUAUAAAAAGACUUUAUAUACAGGUAAAAUAGUUUCAUUUCAUACAGAGCUACUCACUUUUUUGGGGGUGGUAAGAUCCAAGCAGGGUUACCUCAUAAUAGCAAUUCUGACUAACAAUCAGAAGCAACAAUUAUUUCUUCAAAUUUAUGAACAUUUACAAGUAAAUUUUUGCUAAGGCAUCAUUUGGACCCAGUUACCCAUAAAAUGCACACACCCACAUUACUGGUCUAUUGACACAGGCCAUCAAAUAGGCACACAACACUGAUGGAAAAAAUCCCAUUCUAGCUGUCAGGAUGGAACGCUGCCACCGAAUACGUCCCUAUUUUGUCAUCCUCCUAUUAAACAUUCCGAUGACACCAUCUUGCAGAUGAAGGCCAUGAUCUGUGCCUCUACUUUAGUGUGAUAAACUCACUCCCCAGCCCCAGAAUUAGCUCACUGAAGCUACUGGAUUUCUCUACUUGUUGGCCUUUUCUCCCAAGUCUUCUGCUGGCACAGAGAAGCCAGCAACGGUGUGCUCGGGGGAGCUGUCACUUAUCUAGACAGCUGUGACUAAGGAAGAUUGGGGUUGGUAGAAGAAUCUUUAAGUGUAACAGAAAGAACUACAGCUGAAGCAACUUUACUUAAGAACCAAAGACAGCAGCACCAGAGGAAACUAGCAUCUGCAAGGGAAGCAGCAAUUAACUAUCACUCUGCAGCUCUGGCAGAGAAGUCCGUGCAAGUCCGGUCCUUUUAGCCAUGCAUCCCCCACCUUCCUUUUAUGAGAGUAUUCUAAGUUAAGAACAAAUUCAUUUCUGCUGGGCUGAGGAUUUGUAAUUUGUAGGAAAUUAGUGAAAUUUUCUGACUAGGAUCCCAGUUUGAUUUCCCACUGCCAAGGUUCCUGGAAUAUAGCUGAAGCUGUCAGCCCUCCCUUCUCAUUUCAAGGACUUCAGCCUUAAGAUUGAGUUUCUCUAAAGCCUCUUUGCUUGUCACACUCCUCUGGGGUGACUGAUUACCUACCACACCCUGUAGGUAAUCUUAUCCCAGCAUCAUUGCUUUAGAUUCCUGAUAGGUUUGAAUAAACAGAGCGAGAGAUUUUUACCUAAAUGAUUAUACUGAAAUAAAAUCUUCUAGGGGUACGUUUUUGAGGUGUUACCUAUCGUAGUCCUAUGGGAGACUUGACUCCUUAAAUUUUUACUUAUUUCCCCAAUCCUCAACCCCUGAAAUACAGAUAAACCAGUUUUUGUUUUUUGAGAGUACCAUUUUUACAACAAGACGCCCUUUAGGGCAUCCAGAGUCUCCACCAGCAGAAAUCGGAUUUGAGCGUCUUGGGGAGAGAACACCAGGCCUUGAAAUUAGAGAAAUGAAACUCUAAUUAGGGAGUACAAGAAAUAAAAAGCGCCAAUCACUCCAGACCGUGACCCUGACUUGAUUCGCGGGACGCGCAACAAAAAGUUCCCCCAAACCAGACCCUCAGAUCCAAAAGCCGGAGUCCAGAAACCAGUGGACCGAAAAGAGGAGCGGCCUCCGCUCGAACCGGAGGUACCCGAACGGGUCUGCAAAGGAGCUUUCCGAAACGCUUUCGAUUGGACCAGAAAUGUCGCACUCCUGGUCACGUGCUCUCGCGCCCCACCUCCCUCCCCUCCCCGCCAAGAUAAAAGAGGGCGGCCGCUCGCCCCUAACUUUCUGUGAUGAGCUGCGCGCGCGCUGUGCGAGCGUCGGAGUCGCGCUGGGAGUCCUGGCGCCAACGGUUGUUAUGUGUUCAAUCUUCACAAGUCAUUUCCAAUUUACCUGGUGAGGAAAAAACCAAUGGAGAGGUUAUGUCCACAUGUUUUUUUAAGGUAUUUUACACAGUAAAGACAUAGUUGUGACUUUGCUCUCCACGGUGAAUAAUGAUAAUGAAAAUACCCUGGUUUCCUUUCCAUUUUUGGAGCACUGCUGAAAGCCAAAGUAACAAUCUGAAUGAUCUGCCACUUAAGCAGAGAUUUAUUGCUUUUAAUGGAAAUGAUACUUGUUCCAACAGGAGAAAGAGACCAUUUAACUUGGAGACAGUCCCCCAUCAUACUGAUACAGGAGGAGAUCAUACAUACAUGAUACAGGAGGAACAAAUCCCAGAGCAGAAGAAUGGGAAUUGAAGCGUCUGUGUUCCACCCAGAGGACUCUCCUUUUCUCCUUUCUACCCCAUUUUCCUGAAUGUCCCAACGGGGCAGACUCAUCGCCAA